GGAAGCAAAAGUCGUAACAAGGUUUCCGUAGGUGAACCUGCGGAAGGAUCAUUAUCGUACAAAAUGUGAGGGGCAUGCGAGGGCUGUCGCUGACCCAAAAGUCGUGCACGCCCGGGUGUGUCCUCUUGCAUAAUAAUCCAUCUCACCCUUUGUGCAUCACCGCGUGGGCACCCUUCGGGAUCAUCUCGGAGAGGGGCUCGCGUUUUCACACAAACCCCCCUUUUAAAAGUGUAGGAUGACCACAUUUAUGCAAUCAAUACAACUUUCAACAACGGAUCUCUUGGCUCUC
rnacentral:misc_RNA from 1 species